rnacentral:tRNA from 1 species
GUGGGUAUAGCUCAGUGGUAGAGUGCAUGCCUAGCAUGCACGAGGUCCUGGGUUCAAGCCCCAGUACCUCUA